GAUCCAGCUGCCGGCGCCGUAAUUAACGCGCUUGAUCUUAGUCUAAGUCUAAUAGCAAAAUUUGCAUUUGUGAAAACCGGUGGAAGUUGGAAACAGUGAACCGAGGGAGCGAUUUUAUUAAACAUCCCAAUGACUGCGGUGACUUUAAAUCCAAACAGAUUUGCGCAUGUCGGCGCCAUGCAGGUACAUCAAACCAACGCCCACUCGCCGGAGUUGGCUCGCAUCCCAGUCAGUGCUGCAUCACGCCAGACCGGUACCGGCACUGCUUCUGCGGGCUGCCAGGGGCGAAGCUUCCAGAUUCAUCUGCACGCCGCUCUGACAGCUGGGGUUUCCGCGAAAUACUG